rnacentral:rRNA from 1 species
CCUACGGGUGGCAGCAGUGAGGAAUAUUGGUCAAUGGGCGGAAGCCUGAACCAGCCAAGUAGCGUGCGGGAUGAAGGCCCUACGGGUCGUAAACCGCUUUUGCACGGGGAUAACACCCUCCACUUGUGGAGGUCUGCAGGUACCGUGCGAAUAAGGGCCGGCUAAUUCCGUGCCAGCAGCCGCGGUAAUACGGAAGGCGCGAGCGUUAUCCGGAUUCAUUGGGCUUAAAGGGAGCGUAGGCGGGCGUUCAAGUCAGCUGUAAAAUCGCGCGGCUCAACCACGCCACGCCUUUGAUACUGGACGGCUUGAGAUCACAACAGGCAGGCGGAAUUCGUUGUGUAGCGGUGAAAUGCAUAGAUAUAACGAGGAACCCCGAUUGCGAAGGCAGCUUGCCGGGGUGCGACUGACGCUGAGGCUCGAAGGUGCGGGUAGCAAACAGGAUUAGAUACCCGAGUAGUC